rnacentral:lncRNA from 1 species
CGGAUAUAGACUAUCAUAAAAAAAAAAAAAUAACCAUCGCUCAGGAUGCCACCUAAAAUAAACUUCAAAACGCUCUUAGGGAAGCGAGACAAUGCUAUACAUGCUUUAAAAGAAUUGUUUGAAGAGUUUGAGACGGUGUUUGAAAUUCAGCCACAAUUAAAAAGGCUAGAACAAAUAUUUACAAUACUCGAAACCAAAUACAGAAGUAUCAAGGAGCAGCAAGAAUUCAUCGCAGACAAAUAUGUAGAGGAGGGUGUAGAAGAAACGUUGAAGGAAGCUCACAAAAGAAUAGGUGACGCUGUAAAGGAAGAAUAUUUGAAGAUAUCUAAAAAGUUUGCUGCCUACCAAAAAGAAGUAAGCUCCAAGAAACCUCAAGAAGAGACAGAAACCUUAAAGGCAAUGACAUCCGCAGUUCUAAAAAUGACGGAGACUAUGUCCACGGGAUCAAAACCUAGUAAGAGUGGACUUGAACGUUUGCCAGUUCCAUCAUGGGAUGGCAGCCGUAGAAUGUACCCUACCUGGAGGAAGGAGUUUAAUCACUGGAUGAAAAAGUAUGCACAAGAUGAAGAUGAACAAUUGCAACGUUUCAGGAAGGCGUUGCCAAGCCAUUUGUGGUGGACAGAUCAAGUAAAGACCUGCAAAACCAUCGACCAAGCUUGGAAAAUCUUAGAUAUUGAAUUUUCAGACAAACGAAAGCUAAUGGAUGAACUCUUGGCAGGAAUUUCCAAGCACGACCAGGUCAAAAGGGACUCCAAGUCAUUAAUUCGGUAUGCUACCACAAUAUCGAGCUAUGUGAAUGACAUGGAAGCCAACGAUUGCAUGGUUACAUCUUCUUCAGAGGCACCAUUCUUCAUGUCACAACUGUUGUCCAAGCUCACCCCAAGUGAUAACGCUGAGUUCGGGAGAGAAAUGAAGAGGAACAAGAAGGAAGAAAGUGUACUCGGUCUUGUCGAAUGGCUGUACGAAGAAGCAGCUCUUCGUUCCAGGGGCAAGCUUGAAUAUGAUAACGAGAGUGCAGAACAAAGUCGACGUGUGGGACCCUUCAGAAAAUUAGACACCCGUAACCUAGCUACUGAAAUUCCUGAAGAUGCAACCUGCCCCUUCGAUUGCCCAGAAGAACAUCUUCUUGCUGCCUGUCCAAUUUACAAGAAGCUAACGGUAAACCAACGUUGGGACAUUGUUCAGCAAAAUAAGAGAUGUCGCAAGUGCUUGAGAGCAUCGCACCAUACAAGAGAUUGUAAGAAGCCAGAUGGCACCUCCUGCGACAAGUGCAAAAAGAACCACCACAAGUCUUUGCACAAUGAAAGAAACAGUGUCCCACCUUUGGAUCCAAGUGCAGUACCAUUUUCCGUACAGGAACGAGCUAUCUCUCAGAACCAUAACAUUGAAGGGAUCAAGCAUGGGAUCGGUCUCUGCCCCAUUCAGAAAGUAAAAGUGAAGGAUGCUGAUGGAAAUUUCAUGGAAAUGCUAGCAUUGCUAGACACUGGAUCAAAUACCAGCCUACUCUCAAAGAAAGCGGCUAUGAAACUGGGAUUAACUGGAUCUCAAAUUCACCUCACCAUGAAUCUCGCUGGAGGGGAAAAACGUUCAGAAGAUUCUGAAAUUCUAGAAAUCGCCGUAGUCUCAUGUACCGAGGAAGAUAUCGAGAAAACUGUCCAAGUGUAUACGGUUAAAAAACCAUGUAACAGCGCUAAGACAGUGUCGAAAAACAGCCUAGAAAGUUACCCCCACCUGAAGUCCCUCUCCGAAAAGCUACAUCUUUCCGGUGGUGCUGUAGAUCUCCUCAUCGGGACUGAUCUUGCUGAAGCCUUCGUCGAUGUUCACACAAUCUCUGGUCGAUGUGGGGAACCCAAUGCCAAGAGAAACUGCUUUGGAUGGUACAUUAUUGGCCAACUAGACCCAAAGAUACCGGAUGGUGCAAAAAUACAGUCAGUUGAUGUCAGUCACGCGAGCGUCAUGGAGAAUGUCAAUCAACUUCUUCAACAAGAUCAGAUAGGAAUCAAACCUACACGUUUCUGCACAUGUAGUGAAAGUGAAUUGCGAGAAAGUAAAUUUGUGAAGUCUGUCUCUCAAUCAACGACUCUGGUUGAUGGAAGGAUUCAGGUAAAGAUGCCGUGGAAUGGAAAGGGACCUCCGAAGCAAAGUAACUACGACAUCGCUGUAAAGAGAAUGCAGUCAGCCGAAAGGUCAUUCGAAAAGAAGGGUUGCAUUGAUGUUGUCGACGAA